GCUCACGUGGUGGAAUUGGUAGACACGCCAUCUUGAGGGGGUGGUGCACUAUGUGUGUGAGCGUUCGAAUCGCUCCGUGAGCA
rnacentral:tRNA from 1 species